AUUGAACGCUGGCGGCAUGCUUUACACAUGCAAGUCGAACGGUAACAGGCCUUCGGGUGCUGACGAGUGGCGCACGGGUGAGUAAUGCAUCGGAACGUGCCCAGAGGUGGGGGAUAACGCAGCGAAAGCUGUGCUAAUACCGCAUGUGAUCUGAGGAUGAAAGCGGGGGACCAGGCAGCAAUGUUUGGCCUCGCGCCUUUGGAGCGGCCGAUGUCAGAUUAGGUAGUUGGUGGGGUAAAGGCCUACCAAGCCGACGAUCUGUAGCUGGUCUGAGAGGACGACCAGCCACACUGGGACUGAGACACGGCCCAGACUCCUACGGGAGGCAGCAGUGGGGAAUUUUGGACAAUGGGCGCAAGCCUGAUCCAGCAAUGCCGCGUGCGGGAAGAAGGCCUUCGGGUUGUAAAGCGCUUUUGUACGGAACGAAAAGGAUCUGGCUAAUACCUGGGGCUGAUGACGGUACCGGAAGAAUAAGCACCCGCUAACUACGUG
rnacentral:rRNA from 1 species